AUGUUGUUCCCAUAGUAUAAGCCGUCGAGCCUGGCCACUGUGCCUGAGACCCUCGACCCAGCCGAAUACAACAUAUCUCUGGAAACCCAGCGGGUGCAAGCCGAGCGGUUGGCCAUAAGAGCCCGGCUGAAACGAGAGUACCUGCUUCAGUACAAUGAUCCCAACCGCCAAGGGCUCAUCGAAAAUCCUGCCUUGAUUCGUUGGGCCUAUGCAAGAACAACAAAUGUCUAUCCUAAUUUCAGACCCACUCCUAAAAACUCACUCAUGGGAGCUCUGUGUGGAUUUGGGCCCCUCAUCUUCAUUUAUUAUAUUAUCAAAACUGAGAGGGAUAGGAAAGAAAAACUUAUGCAGGAAGGAAAAUUGGAUCGAACAGUUCACCUAUCAUAUUAA
rnacentral:lncRNA from 1 species